rnacentral:tRNA from 1 species
CCGGGCUUAGCGAAGUUUGGUAUCGCGCCUGGUUUGGGACCAGGAGACCGUGGGUUCAAGUCCCGCAGCCCGGACCA